rfam:Salmonella enterica subsp. arizonae serovar 62:z4,z23:--, complete genome.
UUGACAUUAUUCUUAAUGUGGCUUAACGUCAGGAGUGAGGGUAAGGGGGGAUUCUCCUCCCCCUGGCGUCUUAGUAAGUCUGGAAGCUAAUCACUAAGAGUAUCACCAGUAUGAUGACUGACGUCAUCAUAACCCUUUCCUUAUU